AGUUUGAUCCUGGCUCAGAUUGAACGCUGGCGGCAGGCCUAACACAUGCAAGUCGAACGGUAACAGAGAGUAGCUUGCUACUUUGCUGACGAGUGGCGGACGGGUGAGUAAUGUCUGGGGAUCUGCCUGAUGGAGGGGGAUAACUACUGGAAACGGUAGCUAAUACCGCAUAAUGUCGCAAGACCAAAGCGGGGGACUUUCGGGCCUCGCACCAUCAGAUGAACCCAGAUGGGAUUAGCUAGUAGGUAAGGUAAUGGCUUACCUAGGCGACGAUCCCUAGCUGGUCUGAGAGGAUGACCAGCCACACUGGAACUGAGACACGGUCCAGACUCCUACGGGAGGCAGCAGUGGGGAAUAUUGCACAAUGGGCGCAAGCUUGAUGCAGCCAUGCCGCGUGUAUGAAGAAGGCCUUCGGGUUGUAAAGUACUUUCAGCGGGGAGGAAGGCGAUGUGGUUAAUAACCGCGUCGAUUGACGUUACCCGCAGAAGAAGCACCGGCUAACUCCGUGCCAGCAGCCGCGGUAA
rnacentral:rRNA from 1 species